UACGGAGGGUGCAAGCGUUAUCCGGAUUCACUGGGUUUAAAGGGUGCGUAGGAGGGCAGGUAAGUCAGUGGUGAAAUCUCCGGGCUCAACCCGGAAACUGCCAUUGAUACUAUCUGUCUUGAAUAUCGUGGAGGUAAGCGGAAUAUGUCAUGUAGCGGUGAAAUGCUUAGAUAUGACAUAGAACACCAAUUGCGAAGGCAGCUUACUACCCGAAUAUUGACACUGAGGCACGAAAGCGUGGGGAUCAAACAGG
rnacentral:rRNA from 1 species